rnacentral:tRNA from 1 species
AAGGGAGACCUAAUUCAGGUAGGAGACGAAAAAAAAGUAGUCGCUACCAAGAAUCAAUCCCAAAAGGUCGGAGCGAGGCGAAAUUGGCUUUCAAACUAGGUUCUGGGUUCACACAAGACCUGAAUCAGGAACAAGGGCUAUUAGCUCAGGUGGUUAGAGCGCACCCCUGAUAAGGGUGAGGUCCCUGGUUCGAGUCCAGGAUGGCCCACCUGCACAGGUGGCAAAAACAAGAGAAGCGAGGAAUCAGCACCUUAUCUUAUCUAUAUAUAUAUAGGAGAGAAUGCUGGCUCUGAGUAAAGAGUCCAGGGGAACCUUGAAAACUGCAUAGAGCUAGGUGAAAAAGCCAAAAAAGAAGACCGCAAGGUCAAGCUAAUAAGGGCUAACGGUGGAUACCUAGGCAC